AUGUUCCCUUUGGCAGCAUGUGUACUAAAAUUGGAACAGUGCAGGGAAGAUUAACAUGGCCCCUGUACAAAGAUGAUGUGCAGAUUCACACAGUAUUCCAUAUUUUU
rnacentral:snRNA from 1 species